rnacentral:lncRNA from 1 species
AUGGGACCACGGGCCACAGCUGACGUGCUCCCCAUAGGAGGCGGCAGGCCCCGGGGGCGAGGCCUGGGAAGGUUCCACUCCCUGCCCCGCUCCUGGCUCUUCCUCUGCCUCCUGCCCUCCUGCAGUCAUGCCCAGAGCAGCUCCCUCCACCCGUGCCCUCUGCCCUGCCACCCUGGCUUGGAGCCAGCCCACCUUGGGCUGAAACCUCUGCCAGCUGAGCCAAAACAGACCUCUCCUCCUUUAGGGUUAGGGUGUCAGGUUCCAUGUCCCAGCAGGGAGAAAGUGACUGAGAGCCCCCAGCCUCCCCGCUCUGUUCUCUGGGGCCCAGGGCUCAGCUCCCUCCCGCCAUCCCUCGCCCGGUGCUGCCACAGACCUGGGUGUGUGGGGGCUGGAAGCGUGCCUGUCACCUUGCGGGUCCUCUGGGGCGCCGACAUGGAGGCAGAACAGAGGCGCGAGGCGCUGGAGGGGGCUGAGGUGCCACGGGGCGCAGUUCUUGCAUGGAGGCAGAACAGAGGCGCGAGGCGCUGGAGGGGGCUGAGGUGCCAAGGGAGGCGCAGUUCACCUGCCCCCGCACCUGCUGGCGGAUCCGGUCCCUCAGCCGCUCCAGCCGUGUGUCACUCUUUCUGGGCCGCCGCUGUGACCCUGGCACCCGGGAUGGCCCCUCCUUCCAGGGCCAGUAGGGAGGAGCACGAGACACAUGGCCCCCUGAGGAGCCAGACAGGCGCCCAGAGGAUACUGAGCUGUCCCUGUCCCUGGCCUCCUGGCCGACGGACCACAUUGGCAGGCUGCAGGCUGUGCCCCUCGGACUCAGCCCCGGCCCCUCAGCGUCACUGUCAUCUGACCAGGCCAGGGCAGGAGGUGUCCCAAGAGCACCUGGCUGCUGGGCCGGCCCAGGCCACUGCAGCAGGGCCACGGCAUGGUCCUCAGCCACAGGCGGACGGAGACCGUCUUCCCUUGGAGAAAGGGACAAACCCAGUACCUCUGUGGCCAGGUCCCCCUGGCAGCACCGUCCGGCUCUGCCUUGUCCACCCAGCCCGGUGUCCAGUGCUGGCCUGGCUGCUCGGCUCCGCUGGGAACGUCACCCCUCAAGGCUGAAACGGAGCAGACCCCACACACCUGUCCCUUGGUGACAUUUACAAGAGAUCGGCAGUCUCCAAGUGUGAGCCGUGACCUGGGCAAGGCUGGAUAGGGCCUUCUGGGCACUGGCUGCAGGGGCAGGCAGUGUGGUCCUUGAGAGGCAGGUCCCGGGGAAGCUGGGGGACAGCAGGGUGACCACAGGGGACGCCUGGGAGCCUGGACAGCUGUGGGCAGCACUAGAGGACUGCUCCCCCUCAGGCUUCCCUCCAUUCCUGGGGAGCCACCCCACCAACCACCCACCCACCCUGCUGCCCUGAAGAACCUGUGCGCCAGGCCUGGCCCUGCAGCCCUGGCACCCGCUGGCCACCAGAGCAUGGCCACCUCUUGCUGCUGGGCCUUCAGGUCCCCAAUGCGGCUGAGGGCCUGGCUUCCACGUGGGAGAGAACAGAGUCAUCAAGAGCAGGAGAGGAGCUGAGAACGGACGUCUUCUCCUCCCCUGCUCCGGGGCUCUGCCCUCAGCAGGAAGAGGGCCCAGCGUCAGGCCGUCCCCUGCACACUGGAGGCCCCAGUGUGUCAUCUUAAUACAAGGAGCAGCCAUGUUACAUGCGAGUGCAGAGCCAUGAAAACAGAUGCCCAGUGAACAGAAAAUAAAACCCAACGCCAGAGUUGCGUGGCUGCCUGUGUGCUGGGACACAACUCCCAGGUCCGUCCUCCUGUCAACCAGGGACAGGGCAGCUCCCAAGGCAAGGUACCCUCUGCUGAUGUCCAGGUCUUGGCCCAGCUCAGCCCUGCACAGCCCGCUGCCCCCAGGACAGCCACCUGCUGGGUCUACCUCAGGGUGGUUAGGAGCAGCGAGGCCCCCAGAAGAGCCCGGCAGGACCAGAGGUUCAAGGAGCACCCGGUGAGGGGAGCCCCGCUGGCACCCCCACUUUACGGGGGUUGGGGCUCAGCCCAU